rnacentral:rRNA from 1 species
UACAGAGGUCCCAAGCGUUGUUCGGAUUCACUGGGCGUAAAGGGUGCGUAGGUGGUGAGGUAAGUCGGAUGUGAAAUCUCCGGGCUCAACCCGGAAAUGGCAUUGGAAACUACCUUGCUCGAGGAUUUGAGGGGGGAUUGGAAUACUUGGUGUAGCAGUGAAAUGCGUAGAUAUCAAGUGGAACACCAGUGGCGAAGGCGAAAUCCCUGGAAAAUACCUGACACUGAGGCACGAAAGCUAGGGGAGCAAACAGG